rnacentral:rRNA from 1 species
CCUACGGGAGGCAGCAGUGAGGAAUAUUGCGCAAUGGGGGAAACCCUGACGCAGCAACGCCGCGUGGGUGAAGAAGGCCUUCGGGUCGUAAAGCCCUUUCGGACGGGACGAACGUUCCGCGGGGUCAAGCCGCGGAAUCUGACGGUACCGUAAGAAGAAGCACCGGCUAACUCCGUGCCAGCAGCCGCGGUAAUACGGAGGGUGCAAGCGUUGUUCGGAAUUACUGGGCGUAAAGCGCGUGUAGGCGGCCUUGUAAGCCAGACGUGAAAGCCCCCGGCUUAACCGGGGAAGUGCGUCUGGAACUGCUCGGCUUGAGUACGGGAGAGGGAGGCGGAAUUCCCAGUGUAGAGGUGAAAUUCGUAGAUAUUGGGAGGAACACCGGUGGCGAAAGCGGCCUCCUGGACCGAUACUGACGCUAAGACGCGAAAGCGUGGGGAGCAAACAGGAUUAGAUACCCUGGUAGUCCACGCGGUAAACGAUGGGCACUAGGUGUGGGGGGUAUCCACUCUCUCCCGUGCCGAAGCUAACGCAUUAAGUGCCCCGCCCUGGGGAGUACGGUCGCAAGACUAAAAACUCAAAGGAAUUGACGG